AAAUUACACCAUGUAAUUAAUUAAUUUUUUUACUCUUCUUCAGAAGACUACACUAGACGACUCUUUUUUAUUUGAUUGAUGUAGGGUUGCCAGGACUGUGAUAUUUGGUGGCCCUCUUAAUGGUGCUAUGGCAGAAGAUCUUCAUCAAAGUGCCAAAGAGACUGGCACUGUGUGUUCUGUAACUUACCCCAUUCCCAAGGAAAAGCUGUGAAAACAUGGAAAAGUGAAAGAUGUGCUGAAGAUCCGCCUAUUGACUUAUGAAACUAGAGGUAUUGUGUUUGCGGGUCAGGGUUCCAAGAUAAAGAAAUGGAAAGUUAAUGCCAGAAGUCUUCCUUUCAAGGCUAUCAAGAAGUUCGACAGGAAAAAGUUUGGCAAAAGACCCACAGCUGUUGACUGGGCUGUUCCAAAAAAGAUCUAUAGUAGUGGUGCUAAUGUGUCUGCUGCUUCAGAAGAUGUGCUUGUACAGAACAUCAGAAUGAAAGAGACAGUAGCAGUGAGGAUUUGGAUGAUGACGAAGACGAUACAGAGGUUAUUUGGAUGAUGGUGAGGAAACUCCAGCUGCUGAAGGCAUUUUAACUAGCGAUAUGGCUGCGAGGAACAGGUUGCAUGAAGAGAAGAUGCUAAGCUUCAAUCUCAAAAUCUUCAUAUUGUAUACAAUUUACCAAAGUCAUUGACCGAGAAACAACUGAAGAAGCUUUUCAUUGACGCUGUUACCUCACGCGCUACAAAGCAAAAACCUGUCACUCAACAGAUAAAGUUUUUGAAGAGUAUAAAGAAGGGAAAGGUUGUAAUCAUUCAUGGGGAGUUGCUUUUGUUGAGUUAACCGUUCAUCAGCAUGUGCUGUUGGCCCCGAGGGUUCUAAAUAAUAAUCCUGAAACUUUUGGUCCUGAACAUCGCUUGAUAGUCUCUUUUGCUCUUGCUAAUGUUCAAAUUUUGAAGCUAGGAAAAGCUAAGCUAAGCUUCGAGCUCAGCAGCUGGAAACCCAUAAAAGUUCUAAAGAUAUGCAGGAAAACGAUGAGUCACAGACAUAAAUGCCAUUCCAAGCCAAAAGCAGAUGUCCAGAAAAAAAGGAAAUCCAUAGUUGAGAAUAGAGUAGUGAAGGACACUCGAAAUCAAAUAGAAUUGAUGAAGUGAAAAAUAAGGAUUCUGAUAGAAAAUUCUUGAAAGAACGCGGUACUAAAAAGCAUACUUCUGACAAACCUGAAGGUGAAAUUUUGGAGAAAAGAAAAAGGCUAAAAAAGAAUUAAGACUCUGUGGGACAGGAUGUGGUAGAUAAACCUGACAUGCUGAUCGAACAAUACAAAUUGAAAUUCUCCAAGCAUACUUCUGACAAACCUUAAGGUGAAAAGCAAGCCAAUAGACAGCUUAAAAGAUGGUUCCGAUUAUGAUUUCCUUUCAGUGGGUUUUUGUAGCAUUUAAUGGUGGAUUCUUUCGUAGAAGAGUUGCGGUAAUUGAUUUUAAUGCAAUUGCUAGACAUCUUUGUACUCUCAAAUCUGACAGUUUUGGUUAACCUGUAAUCCUGCAUGUGUUGUUGAAGUAUGUUGAAUUCGCUGUUCCUUCAGCAAGAACGGUUCUCAGCCGAUUGAUGUAAUUAAGUAUUAUAAUACAAGAUUAAUUGGCAGAAAGCAUUUUUUUACUUGAAAA